rnacentral:rRNA from 1 species
UACGUAGGGUGCAAGCGUUGUCCGGAAUUAUUGGGCGUAAAGAGCUCGUAGGCGGUUCGUCGCGUCGGCUGUGAAAACCUGAGGCUCAACCUCAGGCCUGCAGUCGAUACGGGCGGACUUGAGUACUGCAGGGGAGACUGGAAUUCCUGUGUAGCGGUGAAAUGCGCAGAUAUCAGGAGGAACACCGGUGGCGAAGGCGGGUCUCUGGGCAGUAACUGACGCUGAGGAGCGAAAGCGUGGGGAGCGAACAGG